rnacentral:misc_RNA from 1 species
AUGGUGGCCGGCCCGGCAGAGAGCAGCGGCUGCCCUUCGCUGGACGAGCGACUGGGCCGGCUCCUGGAGGACAAGGAGCAGCUGGCCCAGCACAACCUCAACCUGCAGAAGGAGCUGGAUGAGCUCAGGGGCCCACACCAGAAGGCGCUGGUGCUCGUGCAAGAGGACCGCGACAGGGCGCACGACGAGCUCGCCAACGCCAAGGAAGCCCUCGCGGCCCUGAAGCAGGACCGCAAGCGGCUGAAAGCAGAGAAGUUUGACCUGCUGAACCAGAUGAAGCAGCUGUACGGUACCCUGGAGGACAAGGAGCAGGAGCUCAGGGACUUCAUCCGAAACUACGAGCAGCGCAUGCAUGACAGUGACCAGAGCCUCAAGCAGUUGGCCCAGGAGCGCGAGGAGUGUGACCGCGAACGCUGGAAUCUUCUGAAGCACGCCCGUGACGAAUCUGAGCGCUGCGUGGCCCUCAGGGCGCAGCUGGGGCUCAAGGAGGCCCUCAUCAAGCAACUGCAUGAACAGCUGCAACAGGCUCAAGAAAGACUGAGCUACAUGUCGGAUGCCGAGAGCUUGCGUGGAGUGUCCAAUGGCUUCCAGAGCUCCGCCUCUCGGCGGAGCUGCCGCAGUCCCGCACAUAGCGGACUCAACCCUCCCGUUGCGGCGGUGGGCUAUGACUCCAGUCCAAAGCAUCAUGCGUCUGGCUGCCUGCUAGACAGCCCCAAGAAGUCCCCCGUGUCGGUGUGCAGCGCGGCGGCACUGCCCGGCCUCUCCCGGUCGGCCGAGGAGAUCUACCAGAGCAGCGGGUCCUCGGACACGAGCGCGGCGGGAGUCCUGCGCGGGGUCCCAGGCAAGCCCAAGAAGAGGAGGGACGGCCGCAGCCCCUGGGGCUCCAUCUCCAGGGUCUUCCUCAGGAACAGGCAGAGGAAGGGGCUCGAGCCGGGGCUGUACCACCCGGGAAAUGCGUCUGGCACUCCGGACAGUUCUCCCCAGCACUCGGUUCAGGCCCAGCUGCACCAGCAGCGUCAGCGCAGCUCCUGGUCCCCCCAGGGGUCGGGACCCCCGUCAGGCUCUGGCCUGGAGCCGGCCGAGUGCGUGGCCCAGCAGCGCCUGCUGGAGGAGGCCCAAGGCACGCCCAUGGAGCGCUGGAGGGCCCCCACCGUGCUUGCCUGGCUCGAGCUGGCCCUGGCCAUGCCCAUGUACGGCCCCAUGUGCGCCGAGAACAUCAAGAGCGGAAAGAUCCUUCUUGAGUUGUCGGACACGGAGCUGGAGUCCUGCCUGGGCAUCACCAACGUGAUGCACCGCAGGAAGCUGCGCCUUGCCAUCGAGGAGCACCGGGAGCCCUCCAUCUGCCCGUACCCCAAGAUGUGCCUGGUGACGCACACCUGGGUGUGCGGGGAGUGGCUGAGCAGCCUGGGGCUGCCCUCGUACGGGGAGGCCUUCCGGGAGCAGCUGGUGGAUGGGAGGGUGCUGGACACCCUGAGCCGCAGGGACCUGGAGAAGCGACUGGGCGUGGCCAGCCGCCAGCACCAGGCCUCCCUUCUGCGAGGCGUGCAGCUGCUGCGCACCCUGCGCUUCGACCUCAGGGCCCUGGCACACCGCAGGGCGCUCUGCCGACACCUGGACGUCGACCCCGUCGUCUGGACCAACCAGCGCUUCGUGCAGUGGGCACGCUCCAUCGACCUCGGGGAGUAUGCGGAGAACCUGCGCGAGAGCGGCGUGCACGGGGCCCUGGUGGUAUUGGAGCCGUCGUUCUCGGCAGAGACCAUGGCCCAGGCGCUGGGCAUCCCCUCCUCCAAGAACAUCAUCCGGCGGCACCUCACCACUGAGCUGGAAAACCUGGUGCAGCCUGCUAGGAUGUCCCUGGAGGCGGAGGCGGUGGUGGAGAGCAAGGGCGGCAGUGAGCGACGCCUGGCCUCAGCCACGGGCUCCCUCGGACGCAGCUUCACUCGGUCCAGCAGGGCUCGCUCCUCAGACCGGCAGACGGACAAGCGCAGGUCGAGCAUUCGGCUGAGCCUGUCCUAAGGGAACUCCCUCAAAACCUUCUUCUCUUGGAAUGCAUCCUAACCAGACUCGUCAAUAUAAACUGAAAUGGACUCCAUCGGACGGGCGUUUGGCCUGUCGGGCUCUUCCCCGAGACCCGGUAGCCGGAGCAGCGGCUCCAGUCCUCUGCUCCGGGCCUCCACCCUGGACUCCCGGCCUCCCUCCGUUCCCC